AACGCUAGCUACAGGCUUAACACAUGCAAGUCGAGGGGCAGCACAGGGUGGCAACAUCUGGGUGGCGACCGGCGCACGGGUGAGUAACACGUAUCCAACCUUCCCCUUACUCGGGCAUAGCCCAUCGAAAGAUGGAUUAACUCCCGAUGGUUUCACGCGGUUGCAUGACAACGUGAAUAAAGUUUACGGUAAGGGAUGGGGAUGCGCUCCAUUAGCUUGUUGGCGGGGUAACGGCCCACCAAGGCUACGAUGGAUAGGGGUUCUGAGAGGAAGGUCCCCCACAUUGGAACUGAGACACGGUCCAAACUCCUACGGGAGGCAGCAGUGAGGAAUAUUGGUCAAUGGCCGUAAGGCUGAACCAGCCAAGUAGCGUGAAGGAUGACCGCCCUACGGGUCGUAAACUUCUUUUAUAAGGGAAUAACACCUCCCACGUGUGGGAGGCUGCAUGUACCUUAUGAAUAAGCAUCGGCUAACUCCGUGCCAGCAGCCGCGGUAAUACGGAGGAUGCGAGCGUUAUCCGGAUUUAUUGGGUUUAAAGGGAGCGCAGACGGGCGAUUAAGUCAGUUGUGAAAUGCCGCGGCUCAACCGUGGACUUGCAGUUGAUACUGGUUGCCUUGAGUGCGGUUGANGCACGCGGAAUUCGUGGUGUANCGGNGAAAUGCUUANAUAUCACGAAGAACUCCGAUUG
rnacentral:rRNA from 1 species